rnacentral:rRNA from 1 species
UACGUAGGGGGCAAGCGUUGUUCGGAAUUACUGGGCGUAAAGGGCGCGUAGGCGGCAUGGCAAGUCGGGAGUGAAAGGCCUGGGCUCAACCGAGGAACUGCUUUCGAGACUGCCAAGCUAGAGUGCGGAAGGGGCAUCUGGAAUUCCCAGUGUAGCGGUGAAAUGCGUAGAUAUUGGGAAGAACACCUGAGGCGAAGGCGGGAUGCUGGGCCGACACUGACGCUGAGGCGCGAAAGCCAGGGGAGCAAACGGGA